UACGUAGGAUGCAAGCGUUGUCCGGAUUUACUGGGCGUAAAGCGCGCGCAGGCGGCAGUACAAGUACCCUCUGAAAUCUCCUUGCUCAACGAGGAGGGUGGAGGGUAGACUGUGCAGCUAGAGGAGGGUAGAGGGGGGUAGAAUUGCUGGUGUAGCGGUGAAAUGCGUAGAGAUCAGCAGGAAUACCCGUGGCGAAGGCGGCCCCCUGGGCCCUAAAAACCCUUUUCAUGGGAAACCAUGAGGAAACCUGACGCUGAGGCGGCGAAGGCUAGGGGAGCGAACGGG
rnacentral:rRNA from 1 species